GCCCUUAGAGUUUGAUCCUGGCUCAAGACGAACGCUGGCGGCGCGCCUAACACAUGCAAGUCGAACGAGAGAUGAGGAGCUUGCUCUUCAAAUCGAGUGGCGAACGGGUGAGUAACGCGUGAGGAACCUGCCUCAAAGAGGGGGACAACAGUUGGAAACGACUGCUAAUACCGCAUAAGCCCACGGCUCGGCAUCGAGCAGAGGGAAAAGGAGUGAUCCGCUUUGAGAUGGCCUCGCGUCCGAUUAGCUAGUUGGUGAGGUAACGGCCCACCAAGGCGACGAUCGGUAGCCGGACUGAGAGGUUGAACGGCCACAUUGGGACUGAGACACGGCCCAGACUCCUACGGGAGGCAGCAGUGGGGAAUAUUGCACAAUGGGGGAAACCCUGAUGCAGCGACGCCGCGUGGAGGAAGAAGGUCUUCGGAUUGUAAACUCCUGUUGUUGAGGAAGAUAAUGACGGUACUCAACAAGGAAGUGACGGCUAACUACGUGCCAGCAGCCGCGGUAAAACGUAGGUCACAAGCGUUGUCCGGAAUUACUGGGUGUAAAGGGAGCGCAGGCGGGAGAACAAGUUGGAAGUGAAAUCCAUGGGCUCAACCCAUGAACUGCUUUCAAAACUGUUUUUCUUGAGUAGUGCAGAGGUAGGCGGAAUUCCCGGUGUAGCGGUGGAAUGCGUAGAUAUCGGGAGGAACACCAGUGGCGAAGGCGGCCUACUGGGCACCAACUGACGCUGAGGCUCGAAAGUGUGGGUAGCAAACAGGAUUAGAUACCCUGGUAGUCCACACCGUAAACGAUGAUUACUAGGUGUGGGAGGGAUUGACCCUUUCAGUGCCGCAGUUAACACAAUAAGUAAUCCACCUGGGGAGUACGCCCGCAAGGUGAAACUCAAAGGAAAUGACGGGGGGCCCGCACAAGCAGUGGAGUAUGUGGUUUAAUUCGACGCAACGCGAAGAACCUUACCAAGUCUUGACAUCCCUUGACGAACAUAGAAAUAUGUUUUCUCUUCGGAGCAAGGAGACAGGUGGUGCAUGGUUGUCGUCAGCUCGUGUCGUGAGAUGUUGGGUUAAGUCCCGCAACGAGCGCAACCCUUAUGGUCAGUUACUACGCAAGAGGACUCUGGCCAGACUGCCGUUGACAAAACGGAGGAAGGUGGGGAUGACGUCAAAUCAUCAUGCCCUUUAUGACUUGGGCUACACACGUACUACAAUGGCGUUAAACAAAGAGAAGCAAGACCGCGAGGUGGAGCAAAACUCAGAAACAACGUCCCAGUUCGGACUGCAGGCUGCAACUCGCCUGCACGAAGUCGGAAUUGCUAGUAAUCGUGGAUCAGCAUGCCACGGUGAAUACGUUCCCGGGCCUUGCACA
rnacentral:rRNA from 1 species